rnacentral:rRNA from 1 species
UACGUAGGGGGCGAGCGUUGUCCGGAGUUAUUGGGCGUAAAGAGCUCGUAGGCGGUUUGUCGCGUCUGCUGUGAAAACCCGAGGCUCAACCUCGGGCCUGCAGUGGGUACGGGCAGACUAGAGUGCGGUAGGGGAGAUUGGAAUUCCUGGUGUAGCGGUGGAAUGCGCAGAUAUCAGGAGGAACACCAAUGGCGAAGGCAGAUCUCUGGGCCGUAACUGACGCUGAGGAGCGAAAGCAUGGGGAGCGAACAGG